rfam:Myotis davidii contig36587, whole genome shotgun sequence.
GGUGGUUCUCGGGUGAUGCUCACCGGUAUUAGGCUCCCUCCUCUCUGGUUCUGGGUGCAUCACUCAAGAACUGCA